GGAUAGGAGGAUGACUGACUAGAACAUCUAUUAUCCCAUUGGUGGCUGGAUUGGCAAGGUGGGGUGUGCUUGCCUUCUCUUCUCCAUAUAUGUCCCACCAGAUGCUGUGCACAGGCUGAAAAGGAAGACCUUCCCCUAGAGAGAAUUUUUGGCCAAUGCUAUAUAAAAGCUACUCCCUCCUGCUAGAAUUUCCACAGAGGCUUUCAAGAGGUGGUUAGAGAAAGGCAAGAUUAAAACAUUGAUAUUGGAGAAGAAAAGAAUAAAAGAUUUGUUUUCUUAUGAUGU
rnacentral:snRNA from 1 species